ACAGUCCCUGCAUUGCGCGCGACCCGGCGGCGGGACAGGCUUGCUGCUUCCUCCUCCUCGGCCUCACCAUUCCAGACCAAAAUUGAAAAAAUGGUUGACCUCACCCAGGUAAUGGAUGAUGAAGUAUUCAUGGCUUUUGCAUCCUAUGCAACAAUUAUUCUUUCAAAAAUGAUGCUUAUGAGUACUGCAACUGCAUUCUAUAGAUUGACAAGAAAGAGCCCACCUGAAUGACCUUGAAAAUAUUAUUCCAUUUCUUGGAAUUGGCCUCCUGUAUUCCUUGAGUGGUCCCGACCCCUCUACAGCCAUCCUGCACUUCAGACUAUUUGUCGGAGCACGGAUCUACCACACCAUUGCAUAUUUGACACCCCUUCCCCAGCCAAAUAGAGCUUUGAGUUUUUUUGUUGGAUAUGGAGUUACUCUUUCCAUGGCUUACAGGUUGCUGAAAAGUAAAUUGUACCUGUAAAGAAAAUCAUACAACUCAGCAUCCAGUUGGCUUUUUAAGAAUUCUGUACUUCCAAUUUAUAAUGAAUACUUUCUUAGAUUUUAGGUAGGAGGGGAGCAGAGGAAUUAUGAACUGGGGUAAACCCAUUUUGAAUAUUAGCAUUGCCAAUAUCCUGUAUUCUUGUUUUACAUUUGGAUUAGAAAUUUAACAUAGUAAUUCUUAAGUCUUUUGUCUGAUUUUUAAAGUACUUUCUUAUAAAUUUGGAUCAUGUUAUGAUUUGUAACAUUCACACAACACCUCACUUUUGAAUCUAUAAAAGAAUUGCACGUAUGAGAAACCUAUAUUUCAAUACUGCUGAAACAGACAUGAAAUAAAGAAUUUAAAGAAUGA
rnacentral:lncRNA from 1 species